rnacentral:lncRNA from 1 species
AGAGAAGCUAAAAGCCAUGGAAGACCACAAAAGAAUGUACCUGUGGGAAUUUUCAAGGCCUCUAAUCUUGAAGACAGUCUCUUCACCAUCCUACUCAGCCGCCCCAUGUUAAGCGGCAACUCACAGAGGUAUCCUACUGCAACUAAUUUUUCUCCUUAGAUGAAACGACUGGUUUGAAUUUGAAAGAUUUGAUGUUUUGAUUUGCCAAUGUUUCCAUUACUGGGUUUUAAGUGUUUCUUAGCGAGGAGCCAGAAUUUGAUGGCCUGGAAGUCAACUAUGUGAUUGUUUUAUGCUAUAUUUUGUGUUCUGAUUGAUAUAUCGGGCUGAAAUACAUUCAGUAUAUUCGAUCGCUUUAGAUGUGUGAUAUUGGUCCUUGGACUUAGUUCAAAGGCUUUCAAGAACUAGGAGAGUUUACUCGAAUGAAAGCAUAAACAUGAAUGAUUUUUCUAGUUGGAUUAUGCACAGUGUUAAGUACAGACUUCAGAAUGCCCUGAUCCUUCAGAAAGCUAUUUCUAAUGCUAGCUUAACUUAAGCUUGUAGUAACUGGGAUCUCUUGUAAUUUCAGUUCUGUUCUCUAUGAUUCUUCUUAUCUUUUUCAGUAGGGUUGAGCUAGCACUUGAGUUCCUUUUUUCUUUAAUGAAAGAUUUAAAGAAAACUUAGAAAUGUUGUAAUUUGUGAUUUGCUGAUGCUAAAACUAGCAAUCAUUGUGAUCCGUAGAAUGGAGAUAAUUGGGGCAUCAAGCGAGAAGAUGAAGACAGGCGAUCAAGUUUCGAUAGAUAUUUACAAGUUAGGGAAGACUAUGAGAGAGGAGUUGGAGAUCUUGCAUCCUUUACUUGAUGACUGUUGCAAUUACAGGGUUCCUAAGCGGUUUGCGAGUGUUAAAUGAAAAAGCCUACACACCACAAGUCGUCUCUAUCGGCCCACUUCAUCAUGGCAGGGAAGAAUUGAAAGCAAUGGAAGAGUACAAAAGAAGGUAUCUGAAAGAUUUUCUUGCGUGGAGUGAAUUAAGCUUGGAGGAUUUGAUUGGAGUUACUGAGAUGGAAGAGACAAGGCUUCGCAAUUGUUAUGCGGAAGCAAUUGAACUCAGUAGUGAUGUUUUUGUGAAGAUGAUGCUGCUAGAUGCCGCCUUCAUCAUUAUGAGCAUGCUGAAAAACUAUUUUCUAGACUUCCAGAGCAGCAACGAGCGUAUUUUCAGUAGACCAUGGAUGAUUCAUGAUAUAAGGUUUGACAUGAUCUUGCUUGAAAAUCAGCUUCCAUUCUUUUUUCUUAAUGACUUGCUUAAGCUAUCCAAGCCUUAUAAGGGAUAUUCCUUGAUUGAAUUUACCCAUCGGUACUUGAAGGGUGCAUUGGGUUCAUGGGUGACAAUGACAUAUUAAAUGUUAUCAAAUUCCUCAGAAGUGCAACAUUUUGUAGACUUUCUAAGAAUCUGUCAGCAGCCAACAAAGCUUCCUCAGCCAAGGAAACUCAAAACUCUAAGCAUGCCGAGUGCAGCAGAGCUCCGUCAAGCUGGAGUCAAGUUUAAGCGGGUCGAGAAGAAUCUAUUUGACGUAAAAUUCAAUAAAAGUAGAGGGAGACUGGAAAUUCCACGAUUACUAGUAAUGACCAGACAGAGAUCUUAUUCAGAAAUCUUCAGGCAUUUGAGCAAUGCAAUUGCAGUGACAAAUAUGUGACUAACUAUAUUACCAUGAUCAAUUUGCUUGUCUGUAGCACCAGGGUGGAAAUACUUGUUCGGAAAGGAAUUAUAGAAAACUGGCUGCGUGAUAAUGACGCCGUUUGAAGUGUUCUCCACAAUCCUGACAAAGAAAAUCUCAUCUUCCUCGACAAUUUCUACUUUUCUGAAAGUGUUGAAGAUCUGAAUAAAUACUGUAGAAAGCGGAGGCACAAAUGGAAGGCAAGCUUGAAACAAAAUUAUUUCCGUAAUCCAUGGGCCAUAAUAUCUGUAAUCGCUGCUGCUAUUCUCCUCAUGCUCACUGUGAUACAAACUGUGUGCUCUCUGAUUCAAGUUGUUUAGGUCUACUAUCUCAAUUGUUCUGUAUGACUUCCGCACUGUGUGUACAUGUACUUUACUGCCUAGUCAUUGUAUUAAAAUUAUUAAAUAAAAUACUUACUGUUACCUUUUAAUUGCCGUCUUUGUGGAAAGAAGGUUGAAAAGUGCUGCAUUUUCCUGUGAUGUGAUAUUGUCUCAUAUAGAUAUGGUUUUGCGGUUUUCCUGAAGUUUAGUCUCAUAUAGAUGUGAGCUUUCGUGAAUUAAUUAUAUAUUUUGGUGAAGACUCAUGUCAUUGAAGUCAGGUAGCAUCCCCUCCACGUCAGGUGAAUAUAAGCAAGACAACAAAAGAGAAGGGACAGCUUGCAAACCUAAGGCUGUUUAUAGAUGGAAAUUCUAGUGUGAAAUCGACACAGACAGGACAGUUGAAUAUACGAAUCCAAUUAUUCAAUUGUAUCACAUGCAUGGAAGGAUUGAUUAAGAUGAGUUUAUUAUAGUCUUUAAAUAUGCUAAAAAGUAGUUAAUAUUACUUUCACCUUAAUUUCCCCUCUUCGGAUUACAUUCAUAGUUUUCCAUUAGCUUACCGAUCAACGGCUCAAAUCCCAUUUCACUGUCUCCUUCCUUCCUCCUUCACCUCUCGCCUUGCCCCUAUAAAAAUCGCCAGAACCUCCUAUCCCUACCCAUCAAAAACUUAAAAUCUCUAGCUUUCCCUCGUUUCCUCGAGAAACAAACAGAAACCCGAAACCCCAGUUUCCCAAUUCAUUUAUAUCAAUGGCACAAGGCAAACAGCAAGAAAAUCCACCGGAGGGACAGCCCUAAGGAACAACUAGCCACGAAGGCAGCCAGGAAAACAUCUCUUUGGACACGAGCAAAACUUCUAAAACUGCGGUUGUUGAGAGCUUGUAAGUAGUUUAAGUUUCUGUCCAUUUGGCUUUUUAUGAUAGGCAUCAUGUUUUUUUUUAAUUCAAAAUAAUACUACAUGAAAAAUAAUUUUCUGAAGAGGAAUUAUCAAAAUUAUUUGCUCAUUUCUUUAUCAUAUAUUUUUUUUCUAAUGAUAAAAUAUCAAUUUUUUCUAAACACAAAUAUACAACUUAUUAAGCAAAUUUCAUAUGAAACAAUAUAAAUUAAUUAAUUAUUUUAAUAAAUAAUUUAUAUCAUUUGAUACAAAUUAUGUGGAACAAGGCACGUCGUUAAUAAUUUUAAUUAAAGAAAUUUAAUACAUCACUUAAUUUGUAUCACUCAUGUGGUCCCAUAUAUAUAUUACAGGUUAAAUUGUUUCCAGUGAAGGCAAACUUAAGGCUGGAAGUUUCAUCUCUUUUUUGGGUUUCGUAAUUGAAUUUGUUUUCUGUGUGCUAACAAUUUUUUUGAUCUGCUUGUUUUGUUCUAAUACUAGCUAUCAUCUCAAUUCAGUCACAGGAUGGAAUCUGGUGGACCAUCAAGCACUAAUCAUGAGCUGAGUCAUCAAGUUUCGCUUGAUAUGGAUAGAUUAAUCCAAUCCGUGAAGAAAGAGCUGGAAAUCUCAUAUGCUUUCUCCGACACAUGUUGUAUAUAUAAAGUUCCUGAGCGAUUACGCGAGCUGAACGAAAAGGCCUACACACCUCGAUCGGUGUCGAUAGGCCCAAUUCACCAUGGUAAAGAGAAGCUAAAAGCCAUGGAAGACCACAAAAGAAUGUACCUGCAAGAAUUCCUUGCCCAGAGCGAGGUAAGUGUAGAGGGUUUUAUUGAAUUGAUCAAGGAGAAGGAAACGAGAUUGCGUCAUUGCUAUGCGGAGACCAAUGGGUUUAGUAGCGAAUGCUUCAUAAAAAUGAUAUUAAUGGAUGCUGCCUUCGUCAUUAUGUUUUUGCUGAAGUG